AUUCGAGAAAAAUAAAGGGAAUGAGAUAUACAUCAAGGAAUGAAGUGAUCAGAAUUUCUAAUAUGUGGAUUAAAGUAUGUUUUUGGUGCUAUUUUUAUUUAGUAAAAGGAAAUAACUUUGUGAGUAGAGCGAUACUUGAAGCAGCGAUCGGUUGGAAUAAUCACUAUUUAUUAUUUCUAAGGUAAAAGCCGGUAUUGAAAUAACAAUGCCGGCUUUAUAAAUAACUAAAUUA
rnacentral:misc_RNA from 1 species